rnacentral:rRNA from 1 species
AUGCAGAUUGGUAGCAGUGGGCCACCACCGAGGAACAGGGCAUCAUCUUCAAGACUUUUUCUCCUAAACAGUGGCCUCGAUGAUACACAAAAGGAUGCCAUUGGUGAUAUAAGCUUUGGGGGUGUGCUUGAUAUCAGGACAAGAACAAUGAAAGGAGAUCUUGCGAAGUUUGUGACGAAGUGUUAUGAUCCAGAGUUGUCGCAGCUUGUUAUCCCAGAUAGGGGGAAGAUCCCAGUUGAUGCAGCAAGCGUAGAAAGAAUCUGGGGUUUGCCAAGGGGGGCAGGGAAGGUUGCAUAUGAAGUGGAGCCAGACGUAGUUAGGUUGUUUAAUGAGAUGUUCGACAUCCCGACAGGGCCCGCGCCAUCAGUGACCGAGUGGGAAAAUGAUAAAUGA